CACACAGCGUUGAUGAGAUAACAAGUAAGCCGCAGCCCGGCAUUCAGAGAGAGGAUUCCUUCCGGCCUUGCGCCGGUCGGCUGCAAGAAUCCCCGUGCCGAAGAGCGUGCCGAAGCUGGUCUCGGAGCGUGGAUGAACUCCACCGGCAGCGGAUCCGUUAUCUUCCGCAUCGAGGAGAUUGCCCCCUUCGGUAGCCCAAGCGGCGGCUGGAGAGCGGCAGUAACCAGGGUGGUACCGCGAUAUGAAUCGUCCCUGUC
rnacentral:ncRNA from 1 species